rnacentral:piRNA from 1 species
UAGUAGUAAAUUAAGAAUAGAGA